rnacentral:rRNA from 1 species
AUGGCCAGCUUCGCCUCCCAGCUCCUGGACGUGUUCUACGACCUCGUCGAGCGCGUCACAGGCUACAGCGUCCGCCCCGACGACGACGAGGAUGCACAGAAGCCCAGCAAGUUGGCAUUUGUGGAGAACUUCCAGGCCGAGGAAGUAGUUGAGAUCAGGUCCAGGAAUCUCCCGGUUUCGGGGGGCUCAGACGCCAAGGUGAACCUGCUCGGUGCGUAG